GCACGCGAUAAAGCGCCGUCCUAAGGUGUUCAACUGAAGACGCACUGUUCUUCUGACGCGUGUUCCAUCAGUCGCUCACCGCUGAUUUGUUUCACCAUAAAGCGCCAAUGAGGCAAACGCUGCGGGGGCGAGUAGCAUGUUUUCGUACCUGCCUACUAGUUUUCUUAGGUCCGUUAAUCUGCAAGUGCUUGUGUUUCCCCUACCCCAUCAUUCCAACAGAAUCCACCGGCUGCCGGGCUACUGAAAGGACCCUCUGCUCGGAGGACAUGUUGCAGGCCCUGUGUAAUGCCCUCGGCGCCUGUGAGACUUCCAGGGGAUCUGCGUUUCACGGCCCCGUUACCAGCUGGGAAGUUCUCCAUGGAGGGGACGACAUCCUGUCCAGCACCAGCUUCACCAUCUGGGACCAAGUGCACGAGGGGGUCGCACUGCAAGCACAUGAAAGAAGGGCACUGCGACCUUGAGGUCAAGCUUGUACAUGUACCAUUACAGAGUCCUAAAUGGAUGCCAAUUGGUACUGGUGACCUUAUGAAGGUGAAACGUCCCUGGAUCUAAAGGGAAAAUCUGACUGAAGGCGAGCUGAAGUUGUUUCUGACUUUAUUCUCUUAUGACUGGAAAGUAAUCUGCCUACUUGAUGAGCUUUGAAGAUGCAAAAUUUGUUUCCGUAACUGUCCCACUUCAACGUAAUGUGCACAUUGAAACCUGUUCCUUUUCUUUUUCUGCUUUUUGGCGAGAAAAAAAAAAGCCAACGAAUCUCCCUGUUCCUUUUCGCAAUGGGGAGGUGUGGAAGACUGAUUGGAUAUUUUAUAUACGCAAUCAGUUUCAUAAGUGAAUGAAGAUAAAAGCAGAAUACAUGUUCACAGAUUAUUUGUGAAUUCUUAGACUUGGUGAAGGGAGUAGUUUAUGUUCGAGUCAUGUAAUUAUGAAGUCAAAACCAGCUUUAGUGCAUUUUUAACAAGCCGUUUAGACUUGAGAGUUCUGCUUUGACUCAGCAAUACACAACUCACUUUUGUUAUUCCUAUAGCACAGCCGAAACUAUAAACACGAGCAUGUUACCUGACCAAUGCUUGAACUGCCGUGAAAUCGACGAAGUCCCUAUCCUUCGAGAACAAGUGUCAACGGGGAUAGUCGAAAGACCAGGGUAUUUAUUGCACACGCAUACUUGAUUUCAAGCUUGCAGAUUGAAGUAAUUGUUUAUUGAAUCCAUUAUUAAACCUGUUUGAGAUUGUAUCGGUUCAUAUUCACAGUAUAUUUAUUUUUCAUUUCAGCAAGGAAUAAUUUAGAGACAGAUGUUGGUGUUCAGGCGUGAUGCUUUUAUUUUCAUAACAUGCAUGAGUGCAAAAAAUUAGAUUUGGCUUUGUAAACUGAUUUUUGUAUGUAUUCUUCCAAACAGCAUAGCAAGCAAUAAUGUAAGGGCUACAGCUGCGAGAGUGGCUACACCUGGCAUCUCAUUUGUUUUAUAGUGUGGACAGGUGAGACAUUAUACUCCGUUUCACGGUCACUUGGCAAACAUUGCGACCCAAUAAGAGCAUCGGAGCCAGGCACAUGACAACAUACCACGGUCGGGUCCUCGUUAUCGCCACAGCAAAAGCGCCAUCUGCGACAAAACAUAGCUCUAGGCUUUUUUUUUUUAUUUUUUCUUCUUCUUCUUUUAGUAGUGUUGCCGUCGGAUUCUUCGGACCGCAACACUACACGACACUGAAGAAAGACUAAGACAUAUGUUACUUAUUAGCAACACUUAAUAUAGAUCAGCACUUUUGAGAAAAACAUGGCUUGUGAUCGAUGUUCAAUCAAUCGUAGCCGUGAAUCGACCACUUCCGCUCAAACCAUCGCCCUAGCAUCAGCACCCGCCACAGAUUCAUGGGCAAAUUGAGCAUGUGGUUGCCUCAUAAAAGUGUUACUGAAGAGCUCGCUACUCUAGCGGACGGUAAUGUUGCUGAAGUGGACGUCCAUCCGAAGUUGUUUGGUUUCUGAGCAGACGACAGCUGGUUCUGGUAGGUGGUCCUUGCAUUUGGCGCGGUGACACAAACGCUCCUGUGACAUGCUGCCAUGUGCCUCGCUCCGACAUUCUUACUGGGUCGCAGGAGCCGUAGCCUCCACAGUUCACCAAGCUAUCGUGAAACAGAGUGUAGACUAAGCUGUCUGCUAAUGAAAGUAGCGUUGCCAGCAUCAUGUAUUAUGUAUGAAACAGUGUAUACUUCGAGAAAACAAAUAAAGCCAUUCAUCCUUUCCA
rnacentral:lncRNA from 1 species